AUGAAGGCACUGUUGCAGGGGCCACAGCUGCCACCAUUCCUGUCCAAGACGUACGAUCUCGAAGGCGAGCCGCAGCUGGACGGGGUCAUCUCCUGGGGUCCUUCGUCGUGUGGAAUUCUUCCACCUUCGACCGGGACGUGCUCCCGCACAACUUCAAGCACAAGAACUUCUCCAGCUUCGUCAGCCAGCCCAAUCAUCUGUUCUCAUUUUUCUUUUCUUUUACAAUCUCUCACUGGAUUACUAUUCAUGAUGCCGUCCUCUGCUGGGGAGGCACUCUGUUUCUGUUUGGUAUCUGGCACUCUGUUUCGGAUGCUCUGUUUUUCGUUUUGUUCCUUCUGGUUUCUGCUGAUGUACUCAACCCAAAUCUGUUGUGUGUGUGUGUGUGUGUAUAUAUAUAUAUACUCUUUGUACUUCCCUUCUUAA
rnacentral:rRNA from 1 species